AAACGACUCUCGGCAACGGAUAUCUCGGCUCUCGCAUCGAUGAAGAACGUAGCGAAAUGCGAUACUUGGUGUGAAUUGCAGAAUCCCGUGAACCAUCGAGUCUUUGAACGCAAGUUGCGCCCGAAGCCUUUUGGCCAAGGGCACGUCUGCCUGGGCGUCACGCAUCG
rnacentral:rRNA from 1 species